rnacentral:rRNA from 1 species
UAGGGAAUCUUCCACAAUGGACGCAAGUCUGAUGGAGCAACGCCGCGUGGGUGAAGAAGGUCUUCGGAUCGUAAAGCUCUGUUGUAAGAGAAGAACGUGUGUGAGAGUGGAAAGUUCACACAGUGACGGUAACUUACCAGAAAGGGACGGCUAACUACGUGCCAG